UACGUCGGGUGCGAGCGUUGUCCGGAAUUAUUGGGCGUAAAGAGCUCGUAGGCGGUGUGUCACGUCGUUCGUGAAAACCUGCAGCUUAACUGUGGGCGUGCGGUCGAUACGGGCAUCACUGGAGUUCGGCAGGGGAGACUGGAAUUCCUGGUGUAGCGGUGAAAUGCGCAGAUAUCAGGAGGAACACCGGUGGCGAAGGCGGGUCUCUGGGCCGAUACUGACGCUGAGGAGCGAAGGCCAGGGGAGCAAACGGG
rnacentral:rRNA from 1 species